GUCCAAACUCCUACGGGAGGCAGCAGUGAGGAAUAUUGGUCAAUGGACGGAAGUCUGAACCAGCCAAGUAGCGUGCAGGAUGACGGCCCUAUGGGUUGUAAACUGCUUUUAUACGAGAAUAAUUUGAUGCACGUGUGCGUUAUUGCAUGUAUCGUAUGAAUAAGGACCGGCUAAUUCCGUGCCAGCAGCCGCGGUAAUACGGAAGGUCCAGGCGUUAUCCGGAUUUAUUGGGUUUAAAGGGAGUGUAGGCGGUUUGUUAAGCGUGUUGUGAAAUUUAGAUGCUCAACAUUUAACUUGCAGCGCGAACUGUCAGACUUGAGUACACGCAACGUAUGCGGAAUUCAUGGUGUAGCGGUGAAAUGCUUAGAUAUCAUGAAGAACUCCGAUUGCGAAGGCAGCAUACGGGAGUGUAACUGACGCUUAAGCUCGAAGGUGCGGGUAUCGAACAGGAUUAGAUACCCUGGUAGUCCGCACAGUAAACGAUGGAUGCCCGCUGUUAGCGCCUGGCGUUAGCGGCUAAGCGAAAGCAUUAAGCAUCCCACCUGGGGAGUACGCCGGCAACGGUGAAACUCAAAGGAAUUGACGGGG
rnacentral:rRNA from 1 species